ACCAUUACAUUUUUGAACUCACUGCAGGAAUUGCAGGCGAAAUGUUUUAAUCCGUAGACCGCUUUCCGGUUCCAAAUUCAUUUCAUCGAAGCUUUCUUAUGUGAAAUCAUUAAAUGUACUUUAUAUUUUAUAUCAUUGUAGCAUACAUCUUUUCAUUCAUUUUUCGAAAAGAUGUUUGAAGAGAAAAUCUCAAGAUUAAUCGUGAAACGUUUAUAUAUUUCUGUCGCAAACAUUUGCCGUUUAGAACUCUUGAAUAAGAAUUUGUAUAUAAUUUUUUUUAAAAGGAAUUAUUGAAUAAGUUGUCUCGACCAACUGACGCACAAAAAAAAAAGAAGGUUCACCAAUAAUGAGUAAUUUCUAUUUUUUUCACCAACCCGAGUAAAAGUUAUAAUAUUAAAUUUGUUUAACACAUCAUAAUUAUAUUUUUAAAACUUUUUUUGUUAUUUGCGUUAAUCUAAUAUAUCUUAAGGGUGUUCAUAAUUCUUGUUUGUGAAAUUUUGUUAGAUACUCGGAAUACUUUUGUGUUAUACAUAUAGUGACAUUGAAAAAUUGGCUUGCUUACCAUGACUUAUUUUCUUAAUCUUAGUAAAUAAAGACAGAAAACUUUAAAAACAGAUUAUUGAGAAUCGUACAAAACCCUUGUUAUUUUUCAUAAUAUUUGUAAACAAAAGGGUGCGAUUGAUGAAUUUAUGAAAUCUCGGACAGGAUUUUUUCUCCGCAAAAAUCAAGUUUGCUUAUUUCCCCCCAAAAAAUAUUUGAACCUUGUUUUUUUUUCUGAUUUGUUGGUUCCAUUAUAUCUAUACUAUCAAUAUAUCACAAUCUUUUAUAAGAAAAAAAGCUUGUUAUUUUGAAACAGAGUAGCAAACAUCCUUAGGACCUAUCUGUUAACAUUCAUACGUAUACAUUCAGUGAUACAUAUCUGUGUUAACUGUCAUAUCAAUUUUCAUCUAUUUGAUAUAAAAAAAAAAGAUCAACAUGUAGUCAAUGCUACAAUAGUUAAAGUAGCCAAAGUCUUUGGUUAUGUAUUUUGAAAGAGAGUUUGUACAGAUUCACAUUUCAUUGUUGUUUAAGUGAUUUUGAGAUAUGUUGAAGAUCAGGAAAAACUGUUUGAAAAAUCACAGAAAAAUCUGUAUUGCUGUGCAUUUUUUUGUUUAUCAUGUAAUUUUGUAUUUUUGUUUAAAAAGUCCUUUUCUUUUUAGAAAAAUCAGAACUAAAAAGUUUUAGAAAUAGGUUUACCAACUUGUUUGACUGCGUGUAGUUAAUUUAGAUAACCUUUUUAAAUUGUGACUGAAAACAUGGUUCCCAAAUUAUCGCCUAUAUCUGCAGGAAAAUCAAUUUUCAAUGUUCGGAAGGUAAAACGACGUCUCUAACUAAAUUUAAAAUGCAAUUUAAUUGUCUGUUACACUAAAAAAAAAAUAAAACACAUCAAAAUUGUGUUUUUCUUCCAAAGAUAUAUUUUGUAAUUACGACAUCAUCAUAGAAAAAAUUGGUAACUACAUGACUUUGAACGUUCAUUAUCUCGUUGAUUAUUAUUUCCCCCAACUUUCAUUAUAUUUUAUGUGUUAUGUAUUCUAUUGUCAUGCUUUUUAGCUGAUAUUAAAUAAAAA
rnacentral:lncRNA from 1 species